GACUAUUUUUUAUCUAUAAGUCUUGGCCAAAUUACGUGCCAGCAGUCGCGGUAAUACGUAAAAGACGAGUGUUAUUCAUCUUUAAUCGGUUUAAAGGGUACCUAGACGGAAAAUCAAGCUUAAUUAAACUAAGGACUAGUUUUCUAGAGUUUGACAUGAGAAGGUACGAACUAUCAGAGGAGAGAUAAAAUUUGUUGAUACUGGUGGGACGGACAACGGCGAAGGCAAUCUUCUACUAAAAACUGACGUUGAGGGACGAAGCCUUGGGGAGCGAGAAGGAUUAGAUACCCUAGUAGUCCUUGGAGAAAAUUAUGAGUGCCAUAGACUAAAGUGAAAAAGAAGUUCUUUUAAAAGAACUUUGUAUCUGAGCCUUAAUUGGAUACAAAGGUCUCGAGUAGCAGUUUAUAAAUGAAAGUGUAAGCAUUCCACCUCAUGACUAAAGCGGCAACGCCCAAAUUGAAAUCAUUAGACCGUUUCUGAAACCAGUAGUGAAGUAUGUUAUUUAAUUCGAUAACCCGCGAAUAACCUUACCACGUUUUGAAUUUAUUAAACAAGUGUUGCACGGCUGUCUUCAGUUAAUGUCGUGAGAUUUUGGUUUGUUCCAUUAAUUAACGAAAACCCUUGUUUCAUUUUUAUAUGAAAUAGUUCACCGUUAUAUUGGAAAUAAAAGGGAUCAAGACAAGUCAUCAUG
rnacentral:rRNA from 1 species